AGAGUUUGAUCCUGGCUCAGGACGAACGCUGGCGGCGUGCUUAACACAUGCAAGUCGAACGGAGCUGCAUUGAAAGAGGAUUCGUCCAAUGGAUAUGUACGCUUAGUGGCGGACGGGUGAGUAACGCGUGAGGAACCUGCCUUGGAGUGGGGAAUAACAGCUGGAAACAGCUGCUAAUACCGCAUGACGCAUAGAUACGGCAUCGUAUAUAUGCCAAAGAUUUAUCGCUCUGAGAUGGCCUCGCGUCUGAUUAGGCAGUUGGCGGGGUAACGGCCCACCAAACCGACGAUCAGUAGCCGGACUGAGAGGUUGGCCGGCCACAUUGGGACUGAGACACGGCCCAGACUCCUACGGGAGGCAGCAGUGGGGAAUAUUGGGCAAUGGGCGAAAGCCUGACCCAGCAACGCCGCGUGAAGGAAGAAGGCUUUCGGGUUGUAAACUUCUUUUAUACGGGAAUAAGACCGUCCACGAGUGGAUGCGUGCAUGUACCGUAUGAAUAAGCAUCGGCUAACUCCGUGCCAGCAGCCGCGGUAAUACGGAGGAUGCGAGCGUUAUCCGGAUUUAUUGGGUUUAAAGGGAGCGUAGACGGGUCCUUAAGUCAGUUGUGAAAGUUUGCGGCUCAACCGUAGAAUUGCAGUUGAAACUGGGGGCCUUGAGUGCGGCAUAGGCAGGCGGAAUUCGUGGUGUAGCGGUGAAAUGCAUAGAUAUCACGAAGGACUCCGAUUGCGAAGGCAGCCUGCUGGACCGUAACUGACGUUGAUGCUCGAAAGUGCGGGUAUCAAACAGGAUUAGAUACCCUGGUAGUCCGCACAGUAAACGAUGAAUACCCGCUGUUGGCGAUAGACGGCCAGCGGCCAAGCGAAAGCGUUAAGUAUUCCACCUGGGGAGUACGCCGGCAACGGUGAAACUCAAAGGAAUUGACGGGGGCCCGCACAAGCGGAGGAACAUGUGGUUUAAUUCGAUGAUACGCGAGGAACCUUACCCGGGCUAGAACUGCAGCGGUCAGGUGUGGAGACACACCGUCUAGCGAUCGCCGCUGCGGAGGUGCUGCAUGGUUGUCGUCAGCUCGUGCCGUGAGGUGUCGGCUUAAGUGCCAUAACGAGCGCAACCCCCACCGACAGUUGCCAUCAGGUAACGCUGGGGACUCCGUCGGGACUGCCGUCGUAAGAUGUGAGGAAGGUGGGGAUGACGUCAAAUCAGCACGGCCCUUACGUCCGGGGCUACACACGUGUUACAAUGGGGGGUACAGCAGGCAGCUACCGGGCGACCGGAUGCGAAUCCCGAAAUCCCCUCUCAGUUCGGACUGGAGUCUGCAACCCGACUCCACGAAGCUGGAUUCGCUAGUAAUCGCGCAUCAGCCACGGCGCGGUGAAUACGUUCCCGGGCCUUGCACUCAACGCCCGUCAAG
rnacentral:rRNA from 1 species